UACGUAGGGUGCGAGCGUUAAUCGGAAUUACUGGGCGUAAAGCGUGCGCAGGCGGUUUUGUAAGUCAGAUGUGAAAUCCCCGGGCUCAACCUGGGAACUGCGUUUGUGACUGUAUGACUAGAGUACGGUAGAGAGGGGUGGAAUUCCUGGUGUAGCAGUGAAAUGCGUAGAUAUCAGGAGGAACAUCGAUGGCGAAGGCAGCCCCUUGGACCUGUACUGACGCUCAUGCACGAAAGCGUGGGGAGCAAACAGG
rnacentral:rRNA from 1 species